CCCCCCCCCCAAACAAAAAUAGCAAUCUCGCAAGAGUGAACUAGCUAACUGAAAUCUAUAUAUUAUUCUAAAUAAAUUUAGAAGAAUAAAAUAAAGAUAAGGUAAAGGAAAAUAAUGAUAUUACUUUACUAUAGUGUUGUCAAAAUUUGGUGCCAGAAGACUCGGUAAGGCCAAAAACGCAAACGUUAGUCAUCUUUAUCAGGCGUAAAGGGUUAGUAGGCGGCCUUAAAAUUUUAUCGAAGAUAAAGCUUAAUUAGCUAUAAUCUUAUAAGAAAAUGAAAGAUAAAUACAACUAAGUGCUAGAGUCAAGUAGAGGUUAUAUUAUAGAAUGCUUAAAGUAGGGGUAAUAUCCAUAUAGAUUAAGCAGAAUAUUAAGGGCGAAGGCUUUUUCUCCACUACGGAAGAAUAUUUAUUAUAAAAUAUUAAUACUGACGCUGAGAAACGAAGGGGAGGAUAGGAAAUAGGAUUAGAUACCCAGAAUACCCCUCUCUGUCAACGAUGAAUGGUAAUUUCUAAUUAGUUAUAUAACAAUUAUUAGUUUUAAUGUUAACACGUUAACCAUUCCGCCUUGUGAGUACGAUUGCAAAAUUGAAAACAAAAAAAUUAGUCGGUUUCGGAGCGAACGAAGUGAAGCAUGUUAU
rnacentral:rRNA from 1 species